CAAAUUAAUUUUGGUAUUCGACUUAUUGUUGGUAACCAUUUAGCCAAAAUGCAGCAUCUAUAGUAAGUUGCAUUGCAAAGUUCAUGGUGAAUCAUGUUGCAGUGGUUGACAUAAUGUCUUUAUCUUAGGAAAUGGUGACCCCAAUCACCUCAUCAUCAUCAUCCAAUUAGAUAAGAAAUGCUAUUUAUUUUGGAUAUAUUUCCCACCGUCCGAACCAACCUUCCCUCCUCGGGGC
rnacentral:lncRNA from 1 species